CACGUAGGGGGCGAGCGUUGUCCGGAAUUAUUGGGCGUAAAGAGCUCGUAGGCGGUUCGGUAAGUCGGGUGUGAAAACUCAGGGCUCAACCCUGAGACGCCACUCGAUACUGCUGUGACUAGAGUCCGGUAGGGGAGCGUGGAAUUCCUGGUGUAGCGGUGAAAUGCGCAGAUAUCAGGAGGAACACCAGCGGCGAAGGCGGCGCCCUGGGCCGGUACUGACGCUGAGGA
rnacentral:rRNA from 1 species